rnacentral:tRNA from 1 species
GGCUCGGUAGCUUAGUUGGUAAAGCGCUCGUCUAGCAUACAAGAGUCCUGGGUUCGAAUCCCAGCCGAGCAU